GGAAUCCUGUAUGAUAAAGGUUAGCAACCAGUCAUUAGUUAAUCUUGGAUUUAUCAUGGUGACAUGAUAAGUUAAGUGUAGACAAAUAAGGUACCAGGCUAUAAGCGAAUGCCGAAACUAAAUAUAAGGGGGUAGAGCU
rfam:Clostridium oryzae strain DSM 28571 CLORY_contig000002, whole genome shotgun sequence.